CUCUCCUUCACACACCUGGACCUGCGGUACCUCUCCUUCACACUGGACCUGGUACCUCUCCUUCACACUUGGACCUGUGGUACCUCUCCUUCACACUUGGACCUGUGGUACCUCUCCUUCACACACUUCGACCUGCAGUACCUCUCCUUCACACACCUGGACCUGCGGUACCUCUCCUUCACACCUGGACCUGUGGUACCUCUCCUUCACACUUGGACCUGUGGUACCUCUCCUUCACACUUGGACCUGCGGUACCUCUCCUUCACACUUGGACCUGUGGUACCUCUCCUUCACACACUUGGACCUGCGGUACCUCUCCUUCACACUUUGGACCUGUGGUACCUCUCCUUCACUCUUGGACCUGCGGUACCUCUCCUUCACACACUUGGACCUGCGGUACCUCUCCUUCACUCUUGGACCUGCGGUACCUCUCCUUCACACUUGGAUCUGUGGUACCUCUCCUUCACACACUUGAACCUGUGGUACCUCUCCUUCACACUUGGACCUGUGGUACCUCUCCUUCACACACUUGGACCUGCGGUACCUCUUCUUCACUCACUUGGACCUGCGGUACCUCUCCUUCACUCACUUGGACCUGCGGUACCUCUCCUUCACACACCUGGACCUGCGGUACCUCUCCUUCACACACCUGGACCUGUGGUACCUCUCCUUCACUCACUUGGACCUGCGGUACCUCUCCUUCACACACCUGGACCUGUGGUACCUCUCCUUCACACUUGGACCUGUGGUACCUCUCCUUCACACACUUGGACAUGUGGUACCUCUCCUUCACUCACUUCGACCUGCAGUACCUCUCCUUCACACACCUGGACCUGCGGUACCUCUCCUUCACACCUGGACCCGUGGUACCUCUCCUUCACACUUGGACCUGCGGUACCUCUCCUUCACACCUGGACCUGUGGUACCUCUCCUUCACACCUGGACCUGUGGUACUGCUCCUUCACACACUUGGACCUGCGGUACCUCUCCUUCACACACUUGGACCUGCGGUACCUCUCCUUCACACUUGGACCUUUGGUACCUCUACUUCACACACGUGGACCUGCGAUACCGCUCCUUCACGCACUUGGGGUGUAUCAGCUGGUCCAUCAUCCUGCUCUCUCCCACCACCUGCACCGGGUCCAGAUGAUCUCAGGAUGGACCGGGCCUUCCUCCUGUCUGCUGCUGAGUUGCUGCUGCUCCAUAGAAGAUGAUUCCACCACAGAGUCACAGAAAGAGGUCAGGAGGUCCUCUGCAGUCAAAGGACCUGAGCUCAGCAGAUGGACUCUGCAGAUGGACUCUGCUCUGACCUUUCUUAUGUGUCACUGCAGUGUAAUCAGUCCAGUCCAGUUUAUUGUUCAGGUGAACUCCCAGGUACUGUAA
rnacentral:lncRNA from 1 species